rnacentral:lncRNA from 1 species
UUGUAAUGUUUUAAAGCACAAAAAAAAUUUAUUUCUUCAAUUAACGCAAUAGAAAAUGUUGUGGCGAAACAUAUUUUAUUUGGUUACGUGCAGUUGAUAACGCUAUUAAUAGUGAGAUUGCUNUCAUAUUAUUACAUUUUGUAAGAUUUUUAUUUUCAGCCGUUGAUUUUGAGCCCCUUCAUUCACUAGGCAAAUGAUAUCGUAAAAAUAAUACAAUUUAUUUUCUAGGUACUCCAAAUACUCUAGAUCAAGUUUAACUGAGCCGAUCGACGAUUCGAAAGUCGUAACAUCGAAAACGAGCUGGAAGCACGGAAGGCUCCGUGCUUCCGAUAGCAUAGUAACAUCACUCUAUAUAUAUAUAUAUAUAUAUAUAUAUAUAUAUAUAUAUAUAUAUAUAUAGAAAAAGUUUUCUAUAUUUUAUCUUAAAUAUAUUAAACCAAGCAUGUGGGGCCCACCACCGCCCCAAAUUUGCACGUUCACCAACAAAAUUGCCGAACCUCCACAUCCCCCAUUUUGAGAUUAAAAAUAAUUCUUAAUUAAAUUAAAAGCUAAAUACAAAAUUAUUUUUAAUUAUUAUUUAUUUAAUGAAAACCUAAUGGGUUAAUUGUAUUCAACUUCCUGUAAACAUAUCAAAUAGCAAAUAUAUUCCUAUAUAGUUCAACUUUUUAUUUUUGUUUCUUCAAAAGUUCAGUGAUAUUUAUAUUUGUCCAUCUGGUUUGUUACCGUUAGAGCACUGUUUAUUUUUUAACAGAAGUUAAAUAAAAUGAUAUUUUUACCCUUACAAAUGUAUUCGUCCAAAAAUUUCAAUAGUUAAAAUUAUGUAGAAAUGUUCUCCCAAAAAAAUACUUUAUCUAAUAAUGUAAAAAGAGUAAAAAUAUUAAUUUAACUCAUUCACUAAUCAGGAUUAGCUAUUUUAUUCAUGAUUAACUAU